CCUACGGGUGGCAGCAGUGAGGAAUAUUGGUCAAUGGACGAGAGUCUGAACCAGCCAAGUAGCGUGAAGGAUGACUGCCCUAUGGGUUGUAAACUUCUUUUAUAAAGGAAUAAAACGAGGCACGUGUGCCUUUUUGCGUGUACUUUAUGAAUAAGGAUCGGCUAACUCCGUGCCAGCAGCCGCGGUAAUACGGAGGAUCCGAGCGUUAUCCGGAUUUAUUGGGUUUAAAGGGAGCGUAGAUGGGUUGUUAAGUCAGUUGUGAAAGUUUGCGGCUCAACCGUAAAAUUGCAAUUGAUACUGGCAGUCGUGAGUACAGUUGAGGGAGGCGGAAUUCGUGGUGUAGCGGUGAAAUGCUUAGAUAUCACGAAGAACCCCGAUUGCGAAGGCAGCUUACUAAACUGUGACUGACAUUGAUGCUCGAAAGUGUGGGUAUCAAACAGGAUUAGAUACCCCAGUAGUC
rnacentral:rRNA from 1 species